AGCUUCGGACGUCACUGAUCACGUGAUCAGCAGCGAACGAGCCGAGCAUCUUUACGUUUGCUUCGCCGUGCACUGUCUGGUUCAUGUUUCGACACUAGCUUCGCAGCAGGAGGGUCGGAGGUAACGACACUAGUGACAGCUGGGGCAACACGCAGGACUCCUCGUUCAGCGGGUUUUGAACCAGGACACGAGUGGUACCUGAAGGCGCACGGAUUACCAUUUGGAGCUACCAAACGGACCAACCUUCCAGUCCUGUGGAGAUGUGGUAGGACAAGGAGACAAAAAGCCUUUCCAUGGACCUCAAAAUGGAUUAUAUACUUUUUUCCAUAUUUUUCUUUCCUCGUGUGAUGAACCGGAUGGACUUGAACUAACCGAAUUUCUUUAUUUAUGAAUACAAGUCUAUAAAUGCACCACAGCUGGACUGACUCGUCGUUGUUUUUUUCCCACACACAUUUGGCUCCGUAGGGGAAUUUGAGAUCUUUGGGUCGAAGUGAGAAUUUAAGAUUGAACUAAUGUUAAGCUUAGGUUGGGAAAACAUCAAGCGAUGGUUACAUCAAACUGAAUUGUCUGUAGCUAUUUGAGCACAACGUGAGUGCAUUAGUGAACAUGUAUUUUUGUUUUUUACAUAAAUAAGUCUAUAGGACUGUUUGUAUUAAUCAUGUAUGUAUAAAUCCAAGCUGAACCUUUCCACCAA